rnacentral:rRNA from 1 species
UACGUAGGGUGCAAGCGUUAAUCGGAAUUAUUGGGCGUAAAGCGCACGUAGGCGGCUUAGCAAGUCGGAUGUGAAAUCCCUCGGCUCAACCAAGGAAGUGCAUCCGAAACUGCUGAGCUUGAGUACGAAAGAGGAUCGCGGAAUUCCCGGUGUAGAGGUGAAAUUCGUAGAUAUCGGGAGGAACACCAGUGGCGAAGGCGGCGAUCUGGGUCGAUACUGACGCUGAGGUGCGAAAGCGUGGGGAGCAAACAGG